CCUACGGGAGGCAGCAGUAGGGAAUAUUGGGCAAUGGACGCAAGUCUGACCCAGCCAUGCCGCGUGCAGGAAGAAGGCGUUAUGCGUUGUAAACUGCUUUUAUACAGGAAGAAACGACUCUUGCGAGAGGCAUUGACGGUACUGUAUGAAUAAGCACCGGCUAACUCCGUGCCAGCAGCCGCGGUAAUACGGAGGGUGCAAGCGUUGUCCGGAUUUAUGGGUUUAAACGGGUGCGCAGGUGGUUUAUUAAGUCAGUGGUGAAAGACGGUCGCUCAACGAUUGCAGUGCCAUUGAAACCUGGUAGACUUGAGUAAAGUAGAGGUGGGCGGAAUUGAUAGUGUAGCGGUGAAAUGCAUAGAUAUUAUCAAGAACUCCAAUUGCGAAGGCAGCUCACUUGGCUUUUACUGACACUCAUGCACGAAAGUGUGGGUAUCAAACAGGAUUAGAUACCCUGGUAGUCCACACUGUAAACGAUGAUAACUAGGUGUCGGCCGAAUCUGGUCGGUGCCNCAGNGAAGACGUAGUUAUCNCCGUGGAGACGCCGGCGACGAGAACGUACGAAGUAGAGUAGAGACGUGAGACGNGCGACGGACGACGACGAGGGGAGGAGG
rnacentral:rRNA from 1 species